UUAGUGUUUUAGUUCGUUUCACUUCUCCAUUCUGAGUUUGAUUUAACAUUCUCACUAUAACAGACGAGAGACAGAGAUCUCUUUAAACGACAAUAAUAAGCUGUAUCAUUCUUUAUAUUUCAAGUUCCCGUUCUAAUUUUUGGUUGUCGCACGAAGGAAAAGAGUCACGAAGUGGAAAACAGCAGAAGCAGAAAAGAAAAGAUGAAAAGCCGCAAAUGUCAGAAACUCAUGUGAAUUGACUGGAGAAAAUCAAAACAUGGAAUAUAAAGAAAGAGAAGAAAAAAAAGAAACACUUCCCACAGAUUUAGACCUCGUUGGUGAUAUCAGCAAUAACGUUUAUUUAAUCUAACGCAUCGCAUCUUUUAUUCGUGCAGAUGAUUCUCAGAGAAAUCAUAAAGACCAUAGAUAUAUCUUUUUAUUGCUUUCUAAUUCUCAUUCAAACAUUAUCAUACAGAAUGGUGCCAAGUAUUAGCAUCAAAUCUUGUUUAUCGCAAGGGAAAUGAAAUAUUCUCUUGAUAAUUUUAUCAAUUUUCUGACUUUCCAUUUUGUGUCUUUGUUGUCUAAAUUUGGCAUUGAGAAAAGAAUUCGUCAUACAUAUUUGAUGGAACUGUUAUCAAAUAUUCAUAAGAAUGUAACUUCUCUGAAGAUAAUAUUCUUACUAGCUUUAAGAGCAUCGUCGUCAGCAACACCAUCGUCAUUAUCGUUGUCUUCGUCGUCAUUCUAACGUCCACUUUUGCAUGCUUGCAUGGGUUAGACGGAAUUCGU